AUUGAACGCUGGCGGCAGGCCUAACACAUGCAAGUCGAGCGGAUGAAGGGAGCUUGCUCCUGGAUUCAGCGGCGGACGGGUGAGUAAUGCCUGGGAAUCUGCCUGGUAGUGGGGGAUAACGCCCGGAAACGGGCGCUAAUACCGCAUACGUCCUGAGGGAGAAAGUGGGGGAUCUUCGGACCUCACGCUAUCAGAUGAGCCUAGGUCGGAUUAGCUAGUUGGUGGGGUAAAGGCCUACCAAGGCGACGAUCCGUAACUGGUCUGAGAGGAUGAUCAGUCACACUGGAACUGAGACACGGUCCAGACUCCUACGGGAGGCAGCAGUGGGGAAUAUUGGACAAUGGGCGAAAGCCUGAUCCAGCCAUGCCGCGUGUGUGAAGAAGGUCUUCGGAUUGUAAAGCACUUUAAGUUGGGAGGAAGGGCAGUAAGUUAAUACCUUGCUGUUUUGACGUUACCAACAGAAUAAGCACCGGCUAACUUCGUG
rnacentral:rRNA from 1 species